UACGUAGGGGGCGAGCGUUGUCCGGAAUUACUGGGCGUAAAGGGCGUGUAGGCGGUUAAUUAAGUCAGGUGUGAAAACCCGGGGCUCAACCGCGGGAUUGCACCUGAAACUGAUUAGCUUGAGGGCAAGAGAGGGAAGCGGAAUUCCUAGUGUAGCGGUGAAAUGCGUAGAUAUUAGGAGGAACACCAGUGGCGAAGGCGGCUUCCUGGCUUGGCCCUGACGCUGAGGCGCGAAAGCGUGGGGAGCAAACAGG
rnacentral:rRNA from 1 species